UACGUAGGUGGCAAGCGUUGUCCGGAUUUACUGGGUGUAAAGGGAGCGCAGGCGGGAAGGCAAGUCAGCUGUGAAAUACAUGGGCUUAACCCAUGGGGUGCAGUUGAAACUGUCAUUCUUGAGUGAAGUAGAGGUAGGCGGAAUUCCGAGUGUAGCGGUGAAAUGCGUAGAUAUUCGGAGGAACACCAGUGGCGAAGGCGGCCUACUGGGCUUUAACUGACGCUGAGGCUCGAAAGUGUGGGGAGCAAACAGGAUUAGAUACCCUGGUAGUCCACACUGUAAACGAUGAUUGCUAGGUGUGGGGGGUCUGACCCCUUCCGUGCCGGAGUUAACGCAAUAAGCAAUCCACCUGGGGAGUACGGCCGCAAGGCUGAA
rnacentral:rRNA from 1 species